rnacentral:tRNA from 4 species
GGCCCGUUGGUCAAGUGGUUAAGACACCGCCCUUUCACGGCGGUAACACGGGUUCGAAUCCCGUACGGGUCAUGU